ensembl:lncRNA
GGGAGGCCCCGGUGCACAACUGAGCAAGAGGACAAGUACAUUAGAGUGUCUAGUUUGAGAAACAGACGCCUCACAAGUCCUCAACUGGCAGCUUCAUUAAAUAAUACCCGCAAAACACCAGUCUCAACAUCAACAUUGAAGAGGCAACAUCUAGGAUGCUGAAGAUGCUAGCCUUCUAGGCAGAGUUCCUCUGUCCAGUGCCUUUUAAAAUGAUAAACGUGGAUUAGCUGACACAACGUGCCAUUGGAACACAGGAGUGAUGGUUGCUGAUAAUGGGCCUCUACACCUAUGUAGAUAUUCCAUUAAAAAUCUGCCGUUUCCAGCUACAAUAGUCAUUUACAACAUUAACAACAUCUACACUGUAUUUCUGAUCAAUUUGAUGUUAUUUUAAAUGGACAAGAAUUGCAUUUUUAAAAAAAUAAUUUUUAAAAGUACAUUUAAGUGACCCCAAACUUUUGAACGGUAAUAUAUAUAUAUAUAUAAUCCCAUUUAUAUAUAUUUACUGACGCGUCAGAAAUAAAUGUUUCUGAAACAGGAAAAAAAAGGCAAUGUCUAAUACAGCAAACUUUUAUUAAAUGAAAAUUCAAACAUCUAAGUGGAAUAACAUUAUCUGGAAUAACAUUAUCUGGAAUAACAUUAUCUGGAAUAACAUUAUCUGGAAUAACAUUAUCUGGAAUAACAUUAUCUGGAAUAACAUUAUCUGGAAUAACAUUAACUACCUGUGCAGGAUUAACAUCUUUCAGAGGAGAUAGUUUGUAUCCCAAAUGACACCCUAAUCCCUAUAUAGUGCACUACUUUUGACCAGGGCCCUAUGGGGGGGUAGUGCACUACUUUUGACCAGGGCCCUAUGGGGGGGGUAGUGCACUACUUUUGACCAGGGCCCUAUGGGGGGUAGUGCACUACUUUUGACCAGGGCCCUAUGGGGGGUAGUGCACUACUUUUGACCAGGGCCCUAUGGGGGGGUAGUGCACUACUUUUGACCAGGGCCCUAUGGGGGGGUAGUGCACUACUUUUGACCAGGGCCCUAUGGGGGGGUAGUGCACUAUAUAUGGGAUACAGCCUGAGUCCAGAAAGCAACAAUAACAUGGAGAAAGACACAUUUUUUUUUCUUUUUUAAAAGACGAGUCCAACGACAGCUAUAUAAUCCCACAAACCAGACGAUUAAAAUACCAAAUCAGAAAAAAACAAAAAUAUAAACAAUCCCCCCCAAAAAAAAAGCCAUAUCAGCCAAUCAAAUCUCACAAAUCUGUAUAAGGGGGGUUCCUCAUCCCACUAGAGUAGCCUGCCUCUCUGCCAUUGGAUUGCUGUUGAUUGUAGUGGUAGCUCCUCCCCCGACCCCUCACAUUUUGUCCUUUAGAGGUGGCAUCGCCCCCUCUUCCUUCCUGCUUCCUGUCCCCUCGGUCUUGUUCCCGGAAACCUUCCCUGUUAUCUCUCCUCCCCACUCCUCGGUAACCUCCUACCCCCCGUCUCUCACCCCUCCAACGGUUCUCUCUAUACCCUCUGGCUCCUCCUCCCUCCUCGUGUCCUCCCCUCCCUCCUCCACCUCUGAAGGAGCGACUGUAGAACUUCUUUCCGUUUCUGAGGGUGUGGUCAUUAGGGUCUAGCCACUCCCCUCCCUCCCAGUCUCGGUCCAAUGAUGUUACGCCGCUUGGGGCCUGGGGCACUAAAUAUGAAGUCUCGCCCCAGCUCCCCCCCGUCGUGUCAUUGGUCGUUUUCACGUUAAACUCCGCCCCGCUCUGGGUCAUGGGGGCGUCGCCCGCACCCUGCAUCGCCAUGCCGACGGAUACAUCCUUGAACAUGGUCUGGGCACUUACUGUUGUUAUCAGGUGACCCUCGGGGACCCAUGUGACCUGAGAGAGGUAAGAGAGAUAGAGGGAUUAGUAACAGUACAAAAUCAGAAACACUACACACAGAUGAAAUCAACAACAACAAAAUCCCAUGACUAAAAUUUAAGUCGAUCAAAAUACACAUUUGGGUCGAGUGUCACUGACAUCCACCUUCAGGGGUUAGAAGAUUGGUCGAAUCAUUUCAAAAGUUGCAUAAACACACAGGCUAACAAAAUAAAAUCAUGGACGUUUACCAAAAAGUGUAUUUUGAACACAGCAGAGUUUCAGAAUAGGUGAUUAGAGAGACUACCAUAAAUCAUGGAGAACAAGAUCCUGCACCCUCAACAUAGUAAGGGAAACAGCCAACUUGUACCGCCAUUCAUUGGAAAGGAAGUGGAUUCAUGUCUGUUUGAGCAGGAUUCCCUAAAAUGGCCGCCAGACAUUUGGUCACUGCUCUUCCAAAGUGUUCUGGUGAGAAACGCUCAGAAAAUGUACCGUCGCUUUCCCUCUCGACCAGAGUCCAGAUUAUGACACUGUUAAAAGAUGUUAUCCUUCAGGCUUUACGAGUUGGUCCCACAGACAAACGGUUACGUAAAUUACGAAAGACCGAUCACAACGCCAUGUUGAGUUGGAAAGGGAACAAAAGCAUGUCUUUUGGGUCGGUGGGGUGGUUCUCAAGGACCUCGACUUAAAAAGACGCAUAUACUUCAAGCAAUUCAAGAAUUGCUUUCACGAAAGGUUUGCUUCCUAGUUUUAUGAGCACAAGGAUCUCACUCUUUGAGAAAGCUGCAGUUCUUGCAGAUGAGUUUUGUCACAACGCCAUGUUGAGUUGAAAAGGGAACAAAAGUAUGUAUUUUGGGUCGGUUCUCUGAGUUUUGUCUUUCAAAACAAAAAACACCCAUUAGUUAUCCCUACGUUUACAAAAAAUUAAACCCAGAGAAGUCAACGCCUACUGGAAGAUUUCAGUCCUUUACUGCCCAAAGAUAAAGAUGAACAGAAAACGUUUUUUUUUUCUUUUCAUAUCUGCCCAUUUGUCAUUACUUCAGUGAGAAAGGACAUUGUAUCUCUAAGUUGAAAGAGAAUUUGAGAGGAAAAAAAUUAAUAAAUUGUUCUCCAACCCAUUAAGUCUCUGGUUUAUCUCCUAAACAAGAUUUUGAAUCAGAUGGGUAUGAACCUUUUCAUUUCAGACGGGUUCGUGUCUCUGCAGAGAGUGGCGAUGACAUUAAGCAAGCCAGAGAAGAUACUGCGAGACAUUGAGGCCCCGGUCCUUCAUUUUGAGGGGUGUUUUGCCUUUGUCUGACACUACAGCAACUGGUUACAGUGUAUUAGUACAAAGUCAUGGAGGUGGGUUGCAUGGAGGUUCCUUUGUAUAAUGUGGAACUCGAGUCCAAUCUUAUUUCUGGUUCCGUUUGCGCCAAGCACGUUUGCAGCCUAUUCUCCUGCUUUUGACGAGGUUCUCGUGGAUUGCGUUGCUCCUUUCACCCAAAGCAAAUAAUCAGUGUCUCUUGACCAUGGUUGUAGGUAGAAGUAAAAAGGAGUGGAAAGCAUGUUUAUAUAAGAAAAGGCAACGCAUUUAAGUUGAUGUUGUGUAACAAAAGUUGUUUUCUGGUGGGGGUGAGCAAACUUGUCCAACAAAAAUAUAGGAUAUAUUUGUUGUCUUAAGGGGGAAGGUGUUCCAGGCUUUGUUUUUUUUUCCCAUUUAUAUUUAGAGGGGAAGGUGUAUAUAUUUAUAUUUAGAGGGGAAGGUGUAUAUAUUUACAUUUAUAUUUAGAGGUUGCACUUGGGACGCACUGAUUGGUGUCACACCUGUGCUGGUUGCCAUCUCGUUAGUGGUCAGGUUUUUCACCUGGCUGGCCCAGGUGACAUUUAGCCCAGGUGACAUUUAGAGGCUGGCCCAGGUGACAUUUAGAAGCUGGCCCAGGUGACAAUUAGAAGCUGGCCCAGGUGACAAUUAGAAGCUGGCCCAGGUGACAAUUAGAAGCUGGCCCAGGUGACAUUUAGAAGCUGGCCCAGGUGACAUUUAGAGGAUGGCCCAGGUGACAUUUAGAGGAUGGCCCAGGUGACAUUUAGAGGAUGGCCCAGGUGACAUUUAGAGGAUGGCCCAGGUGACAUGUAGAGGAUGGCCCAGGUGACAUGUAGAGGAUGGCCCAGGUGACAUUUAGAGGAUGGCCCAGGUGACAUUUAGAGGCUGGCCACUCAUGUUGGGAGUCUUUUAGGGCCCAGUUGUUGUUACUAGUCAUCUUCCAGUGGACCCCCCAUGAGUGUCUUUCAGAACCCCUCCUAAAAUCCCACUUUUGUUUGAGCGACAUUUUUGGUUUUCUAGCUGGGGAACGUAACACUCCAGUAAUGAGCCGAAUAACAUUUUUUAUAAAAUGUUAAAAUGAUUAACACAGUGGACCAUACAGCCCAUCUAUAGUGUAACAUAGUGGACCAUACAGCCCAUCUAUAGUGUAACACAGUGGACCAAACAGCCCAUCUAUAGUGUAACAUAGUGGACCAUACAGCCCAUCUAUAGUGUAACACAGUGGACCAUACAGCCCAUCUAUAGUGUAACACAGUGGACCAUACAGCCCAUCUAUAGUGUAACACAGUGGACCAAACAGCCCAUCUAUAGUGUAUUAUUGUA